ACGCUCGACACCUACGGGAGGCCGCAGUAGGGAAUCUUCCACAAUGGACGCAAGUCUGAUGGAGCAACGCCGCGUGAGUGAAGAAGGUCUUCGGAUCGUAAAACUCUGUUGUUAGAGAAGAACACGAGUGAGAGUAACUGUUCAUUCGAUGACGGUAUCUAACCAGCAAGUCACGGCUAACUACGUGCGAGCAGCCGCGGUAAUCUGAGCGGGCUGGCAAGGC
rnacentral:rRNA from 1 species